rnacentral:rRNA from 1 species
GAUAAACGCUAGCGGCAGGCUUAACACAUGCAAGUCGAGGGGCAGCGUAGAUAGUAGCAAUACAAUUGGUGGCGACCGGCGCACGGGUGCGUAACGCGUAUGCAACCUACCCGUCACAGGGGGAUAAUCCGGAGAAAUCUGGUCUAAUACCCCAUAACAUAUGGAUCGGCAUCGGUUCAUGUUGAAAUUUCCGGAGGUGACGGAUGGGCAUGCGUAGCAUUAGCUUGUUGGUGAGGUAACGGCUCACCAAGGCGACGAUGCUUAGGGGGACUGAGAGGUUUUCCCCCCACACUGGUACUGAGACACGGACCAGACUCCUACGGGAGGCAGCAGUGAGGAAUAUUGGUCAAUGGGCGCAAGCCUGAACCAGCCAUGCCGCGUGCAGGAUGACGGCUCUAUGAGUUGUAAACUGCUUUUGUACGAGGGUAAAGUGGGUUACGUGUAACCUUUUGAAAGUAUCGUACGAAUAAGGAUCGGCUAACUCCGUGCCAGCCGCCGCAGUAA